GGUUCGAUUCUGGCUCAGAUUGAACGCUGGCGGGAUGCUUUACACAUGCAAGUCGAACGGCAGCACGGACUUCGGUCUGGUGGCGAGUGGCGAACGGGUGAGUAAUGUAUCGGAACGUGCCUAGUAGCGGGGGAUAACUACGCGAAAGCGUAGCUAAUACCGCAUACGCCCUUCGGGGGAAAGCGGGGGACCUUCGGGCCUCGCACUAUUAGAGCGGCCGAUAUCGGAUUAGCUAGUUGGUGGAGAUAACGGCUCACCAAGGCGACGAUCCGUAGCUGGUUUGAGAGGACGACCAGCCGCACUGGGACUGAGACACGGCCCAGACUCCUGCAGAGCGGCAUUGGGGAAUUUUGGACAAUGAAACCUGAUCCAGCCAUCCCGCGUGUGCGAUGAGGCCUUCGGGUUGUAAAGCACUUUUGGCAGGAAAGAAACGGCACGGGAUAAUACCCCGUGCAACUGACGAACACCUGCAGAAUAAGCGGGCUUCAACUACGUGCCAGCAGCCGCGGUAAUACGUAGGGUGCAAGCGUUAAUCGGAAUUACUGGGCGUAAAGCGUGCGCAGGCGGUUCGGAAGAAAGAUGUGAAUCCCAGAGCUUAACUUUGGAACUGCAUUUUUAACUACCGAGCUAGAGUGUGUCAGAGAGGAGGUGGAAUUCCGCGUGUAGCGAAGUGAAAUGCGUAGAUAUGCGGAGGGAACACCGAUGGCGAAAACGGCCUCCUGGGAUAACACUGACGCUCAUGCACGAAGCGUGGGGAGCAAACAGGAUUAGAUACCCUGGUAGUCCACGCCCUAAACGAUGUCAACUAGCUGUUGGGGCCUUCGGGCCUUGGUAGCGCAGCUAACGCGUGAAGUUGACCGCCUGGGGAGUACGGUCGCAAGAUUAAAACUCAAAGGAAUUGACGGGGACCCGCACAAGCGGUGGAUGAUGUGGAUUAAUUCGAUGCAGCGAAAACCUUACCUACCCUUGACAUGUCUGGAAUCCCGAAGAGAUUUGGGAGUGCUCGCAAGAGAACCGGAACACAGGUGCUGCAUGGCUGUCGUCAGCUCGUGUCGUGAGAUGUUGGGUUAAGUCCCGCAACAGGCGCAACCCGCUUGUCAUUAGUUGCUACGAAGAGGGCACUCUAAUGAGACUGCCGGUGACAAACCGGAGGAAGGUGGGGAUGACGUCAAGUCCUCAUGGCCCAUAUGGGUAGGGCUUCACACGUCAUACAAUGGUCGGGACAGAGGGUCGCCAACCCGCGAGGGGGGAGCCAAUCCCAGAAACCCGAUCGUAGUCCGGAUCGCAGUCUGCAACUCUGACUGCGUGAAGUCGGAAUCGCUAGUAAUCGCGGAUCAACAUGUCAUGAUGCGACCGUUCGGGUCUUGUACACACCGCCCGUCACACCAUGGGAGUGGGUUUUACCAGAAGUAGUUAGCCUAACCGUAAGGAGGGCGAUUACCACGGUAGGAUUCAUGACUGGGGUGAAGUCGUAACAGGUAACC
rnacentral:rRNA from 1 species